UCUUCCAGAUAUUGAGACAUGAUUUUCCUAUACCCUGGAAGCAGGCAGAAAUAAUUAUGGGGCAGACUUUUGUGCUGUGUCUUUAGGGAUUUGGGGGAUGCCUUCAUCACACUGUCCACUUUCUUCCUGUUCCUGGCUCUGCCAUCCGGAGCAGUACCGGCUUUCCAGCAGAAGCCACGUCUUGGAAGAGCUGCACACCUGCCAGUUCUAAUCACACCCUGGUCUUACUGGCUCUUAGGAAAAAACAGAAACAAAAACCAACCAACCAAACAAACAAAACCCUUGGAACUCAUUAAAAACUUAGGACGCUCAUAUUUUUUUUUAAAAAAACAUUAUUUUUCUUAUAAUAAGGGAUAUAUGGAUUACAUUUUUUAAAUUAAAGAUUUUUUUAAAAAAGCUUUUGCGUCUCUCAUGGGGAUAUCUGUGCCUUAUCAUGCAGGGCUUGGCUGUCAUCAGAGAUCAACUGGCAAUAAGCUAGCACUUCUCUUACGUGAUCUGAAGAGUCUCAGGCUACAUGGCUCCCACCUAGUAUUUCCUGGUACUGGCUUGUGUUUUGAACACAUCUGCAAGACACCCUUGGUUGACUCAUUAAUUCCUUGUCAUGCUCUCAAAAAAAAACUUUAAUGGGGCUAUUUUCUAUGUUUUUAGCCCAGCAUGAUGAGCUUUUUCCUUGAGAUUUUCUAAAUUUUCCUGUAGGUCCUGAGAAUCCAUCCCCUGAUCAGCUCUUGAUGUAAUUUCCAGGCUUGGUGUGAGGAAGGUGGUGAGUUUUUACAAUUUGCUCUUUUUAAAACACUCAGGGAGACAGUGGUUUUAAUCAUCCCAAGCCUGCCACUCAGCUUGGUGGCCCCAUUUGUGUGUCUACCUGAUCUCAUAGCAACGUCGCACCCAGUGGCAGAUUUCUUGAGAAAAGCUGGGGAUGAUUCAUUGAUGGCAUAGGUGAAAAUAAAAAGAGCUUCGUAAACUUGGGUGACAGCUUUGAAAGGUGGGGAGCCAGAGCCUUGGGUUGAUGAGAACCAUGAAGACCUGCCCUGCUCAGGCAGAAAGAGGUACGCCUCUGUUACCAGCUUUAUGCCUCUUGUUUAUUUCUAAUAGGCUCCACAUGCACCACUGAUGCCCUGGCUGUGUUUGUCCUGGCUGCACUCACGAAGAGCAAGAGUGAUGACAAUUUUGAACAUACAACUCAGGCUCUCACUUCUUGUAAGAAGAAGUACCACUUGUUAGCCAUUUCCUAAGGGCCAGCUCUGCUGAAUAUUUCAGUUUUGACUCUCACAGCAAUCCUAGGAGAUGAAUGCUACCUCUUUCCACAUGUGACAGAUGAGCAAACUGAGUCUCUAAGAAUUUACAUAACUGGCUCUGGCAGGGCCAGAGAUUGCACAGGGCGCUGCCUGACACCCAGGCCAAUGCCAGACCACAUGGCGGCCUGUAGCGUGGAGGUGAAGAGCUCCCACCCAGAGGCCAGACGGCGGAAUCUUUUCUCUGUACUUGCUUGCUGGGUGACCCUGACCUCUCGGGAUCUGUUUCCUUUUAUACAGAAUGUGGACAGUAAAGGGCCUCUUCAUAGCGGUGGUGCAAGCAGUAAGGAAUUACAACACCAAAGCUCACAGAACAGUGGGGCCGCUCAUGUGAGCAUGAGAUGUCGUUGCCAUGCCAUCUCCAAAGAGCAAAGAGAAUUCUUGUUUCUGCAGGUCAUCCACUCGUGGGUGGACCCAGAAGUCCCCAAGGAACAGCUUCACACCGUCACCUCUUCUACCUUUCCCAGCCCAUGCCGUCUCAGGAACACCAUAAAAGAACUUUUAUAAAACCAUGAAGCUGGCAGCAGUGAGCAACCCAAAUGACAAAGCGCUAGAAGGUUGCAGCCACCCAGAUCUGCUUAUCUGGACCAGACGUCACUGGCGCCGUGAGACUGCUACAGCAUCAGCUAGAAGAGGCUGCCAGGACCACAGUUCCCAAAAUAAUGCAGAGAAAGUGUGACAAGCUAGACGAUCAGUCCUCUGAACUGAAUGCAUUGCACGUUCAGAUUCUCUAAACUAAACAUGCGUGAUCAUAAUAUUUCUUUUGAACUGUAAAGACAAUAUGUUACAGAAUUUGGAAAAAUAGAUAAAAAUAUCACCCGCUGUUCUACCACAUUCACAAAAUAUAUGAGUUUUUUCCUUCAACCAUUGCAAUCUGGGUCCUGAUACAUCUGUGUAAAAUAACACCAAUAUGAAAUACAAAGUAAAUGUUUCUACUUCAUGUGCGUUUCCAUGGGCAGACUCUUUCUGCUGAUGAAGGCCUGAAGGCAGAGAAGACACAGCAUCAUCACACCCUUGGUCAGUUCCUCCAGGAAAGCAGAAAUUGGAGGAUUUUCCCAAUCGAGCUCUUUUCAGAAAAAAAUUAGUUUCUUCAGGGAUAUCUGGAAAGGCUGCAUCUCCUGAUAAGCACAUGCAUUUUGUACAAUGUUCCGUAAUCUGAAACUCUUUUAGAUUUUUUUUUUUUUUUGCUAACACAUACUUUUCCCAUAAAACUGCCCCUAGGGGAUGUACUACAUGAAUAUUUAGGGGAUGUUGCCAGGAUGGAUGGUCUCUAACAAGCAGGGAAACAUGCUUUUACCUAGAAAAGGAGACCCUUGAGACCCUGACAGAGCUGGGAUGGAAUAACUUAAGUUCUUCCUAAAAAAGCAACGGAGGCUUCAAAGAAACCCAGUCCUGCCUGUCGAGGUGUUUCCUGCUGUUCCGCGACAGCAAUCCUGUGGCCUCCAGCCUUGGCUGGCCAGACCCCACCUGGGUCCUUGGAGACAGAAAGCAGAAGCCAGUUUCCUGACCUGUUGAUGCUUCAUCCUCAGGAGCAUUCUGGCAUUCAAAGGGCCAAGCAAGGUUUAGAGCAACUUGAGGCCUUCAAGCCACUGUCUUGUUAGAGUUCUGGAAAGCCAGCUCCUCAGAAGUCACCUCAAGCUUUCGUCCCUCCAGCGCCAGCUCUUCUCCAGCUCCGUAGCUUCCUGUUCGCUAUUAUAUAUUAGAAAAUCCCCUCCUCUCAUCUCUCAUUCUUGGUGUGGUCGCUGAUACAAACGGCAGACAGUCCUUUGUAUGGAUUUAUAGCCUACAGGCCACGUCCCCACCUUCUCUCUCAUUUAACCCAUGUGUCAUUUUACUGAAGAAGAAAUGGAGACUUGGAGAGGAUCUGUUGCUGGAAAGUGGCUCCAACUCCCAAGUGGUGAAUCCAGAGCCGGUAGCUCUUGGUCACUCGGCACCUGCCCCAGCUUUUCUUCAGGGCUGUGGAGCAGUGGUUUCUGUUCCACCCUUCUCAGGGAGGGAUCUUUCAAGCUUGCCUCUGCCACUGUAUUGUCAAUUGGGCCAACAGUACCCCCACACUUCUGGAGACGCUGCUGCAGGAUUGCUGCAGGACUGAUGACCUUCUGCGGGAUCCUGUCACCUCAGGAUCACCCCCUCAGCCUGUGUUAGGGUCGUCUUCAAAUUGUAAAGGGAACAGGAAGGUAAAGAUGCUUGAGGGUAAGCACCAAGGUAAUGGGAUAACUUUUCUCUUUUCAUUCUAAUGAAUGUGUGUGUGUGCAGUGUGAGUGUGCGUGCAUGUAUGCAUGUGUGUGUGCAG